UGACAAUAUAGCGCAACAAAUUCUGAACUUUGACAUACCAGAGUCAAAUGAACUAGGACAACAGGAAAUCAUUUCACUAUGCAAUCUGCGCAAUCAAGAACUUGAAAACCAAUCAUACCUCUUUCACAUAAAGAAAAAGGCCGCCGCACCAUCCCAAACAGAAACACAUACUUACACACUUAUGUCUGCUUCCAAAGAAAACAAAGAUAAGGAAAUUGCUGCCGAAGAAACAUUGUCAAAGAACCACCCUAUUGUACCCAAACACACUGGGAUAACACCUGAAAUGCAGGAGAAGGCAACCUGCACAACUGCUACCUUAGAAUCAUCUGUUCCUGGUAAGAACAACAAUAUAUCAUCCUAACAAUA